ACUCAAAGGAAUAGACGGGGACCCGCACAAGCGGUGGAUGAUGUGGUUUAAUUCGAUGCAACGCGAAAAACCUUACCCACCUUUGACAUGUACGGAAGUUGCCAGAGAUGGCUUCGUGCUCGCAAGAGAACCGUAACACAGGUGCUGCAUGGCUGUCGUCAGCUCGUGUCGUGAGAUGUUGGGUUAAGUCCCGCAACGAGCGCAACCCUUGCCAUUAGUUGCUACGAAAGGGCACUCUAAUGGGACUGCCGGUGACAAACCGGAGGAAGGUGGGGAUGACGUCAAGUCCUCAUGGCCCUUAUAGGUGGGGCUACACACGUCAUACAAUGGCUGGUACAAAGGGUUGCCAACCCGCGAGGGGGAGCCAAUCCCACAAAGCCAGUCGUAGUCCGGAUUGCAGUCUGCAACUCGACUGCAUGAAGUCGGAAUCGCUAGUAAUCGUGGAUCAGCAUGUCACGGUGAAUACGUUCCCGGGUCUUGUACACACCGCCCGU
rnacentral:rRNA from 1 species